rnacentral:rRNA from 1 species
UACAGAGGGUGCGAGCGUUGUCCGGAAUCACUGGGCGUAAAGGGCGCGUAGGUGGCCAUGUAAGUCGGGGGUGAAAUGCUGCGGCUCAACCGCAGCGCUGCCUUCGAGACUGCAUAGCUUGAGCACGGUAGAGGCCGAUGGAAUUCCCGGUGUAGCGGUGGAAUGCGUAGAGAUCGGGAAGAACACCAAUGGCGAAGGCAGUCGGCUGGGCCGUUGCUGACACUGAGGCGCGACAGCGUGGGGAGCAAACAGG